rnacentral:lncRNA from 1 species
GCCAAAGCCAACCACAACAUCUGCAACAACCGGAACCACAACAGUUGCAGCUGCAGCCAAGACUAGACCAGGACUGCAUAGGGUCAGAGAUAUAGGUUCUAGCAGUGUCCACCCAGCGUACUCAUCUGUGGUAGCUGCAGCAUCAACAUUCAGGAGCACGUCCACCUCUGCAAGUAACAGGAAUAUUUUAAGACCCAAUACAGGUAAAGACAUU